rnacentral:rRNA from 1 species
CUCCUACGGGAGGCAGCAGUGAGGUAUAUUGGUCAAUGGGCGCGAGCCUGAACCAGCCGUGGCGCGUGCGGGAUGACGGCGCUGUGGGUUGUAAAAUGCUCUUCUAGGCCAAGAAACUACCGUUCGUGAACGGUACUGACGGUAGCG